UGAACAGAGAGUUAAUUUCAUACCGUUUCCGUAAACAUAUCGAAUAACAAAAAAAUCUCUAAAAAAUUUAACUUUUCAUAUUUAUCUUUACAAAAUUUAGUGAUAUUUAUAUUUAUCUUUCCGGUUUGUUAUUGGCAGAGCACUAUUUAUUUUUAAGAGAAAAUAACUGAAAUGAUAUUUUUGCCAUAAAAAAUAUGUCCCUUUAAAAGUCCCAACUGUUAAAAUUAUACAGAAUUACUCUUCUAAAAAUUUUCAAUAGUCAUUAUCUUUCCUUUUGCCGUUACAAAUAAUGUAAAAAGGGUAAAAAAUCAAUUUACCUCAUUUACUGACCGUGGUUUAGUAUUUUACCUACGAUUAACUAUAUUUUUCUAAUAGAUCCUAAUUAACACAACAAAAGUAUAUUUGAUAACGGUAGGAUUUUUAUAGAAAUAAAUAUGAAAAGUUAAAUUUUGUGCAGAAAUUUAUUUUUUAUUGAUAUAUUUGUAGAGAGUUAGUACAUAAUUAAGCUAUAA
rnacentral:lncRNA from 1 species